rnacentral:lncRNA from 1 species
UACUUAACACUUUACAUUUCACACUUUAAACAAUGGACAUUACCUAAUAUUCAAACUUGCAGCACAGAGCCAAUCAGAAGCAUAUCAUGGGGUAUGCAACAUGCUUUAAAUAUUAUUUGCAUCAGUGCCUUUGCUUUUAAUGCACUAUUUUGGUAUGCACAUUCAGAGAGAAUACGUGCUUGCCUAAUGACUGGAUUUCAGAAAUAUGAACACAUUAAAAAAAAGCUGUUGUAUUCUAAAAAUGAUCAAACUCAGCGGAGGUGGAGUGAGGCACUUGCGUAUGCUAUCACUUCAGUCAAAUUAAAUAGCGAAGUUUUCAUCCAUCAUCUAUCCUCGAUAUUUAUCACAUAGACACAAUACAUAUGCGCAACAGUGCAGAAAAAAAAAGCUAUUUAGGAUAAUAUGUUUAAAUGACACACUUGUUGCACAGACAUUUCCACAUCAUAGUAUUUGCAUGUGUUACCCACUGUGACCAUGUCAGCAUUCUCCAAGUUUUUGCCCUUAACCACAGCCUAUGCACCAGUAACACUUGCAAUAUAAGUGAAGGUGCAAUUAUCAAAACAGUACAAACAUUGCGCAUCUGGUGUUAACAGUGGAAUGCCAAAAUAACCCUUCUCUUGCAUAACCUCUUCGAACACAUUGUUGCUUGCAACACAAAAUUAUAAACCCCUUUGCACUGACCAUACAAAAGUACAAUUCUUUUUUUCCCUCUUCAAAUGAAUGCAUUACUAUAUGGUUCCUGAUACAACAAGAAGCAAGCUUGCUCAAUGAAGCCUUGAAUUGAGACCAGAUGCCCUUGGUCGAAAACGCUUUGUUCUUACAAGUAUUUUGUGGCACAUCGUCAUGUGAGGUAUUCAAUACAUACGUGAUACCUAGAACACCCAGCAAUGCACAAUAAAUGCUACCUCUGCAAAGUGUGGUCACAUGCCGUUUCAGCAUUCACCCAUUUAUUUUCAUCACUCGAGUUGUUUUAAUCUGAAGGUGUUUGUGUUUCUAAGCAUGAAAGACAUCAAUAACCAAGAAAAAAGUACAUGGAUCAAUAUCAUAU